rnacentral:lncRNA from 13 species
CGGGAGGAGUGGGAGAAGUAAGAGUCCCACUUCAGGGAUCAGCAAACUAAGGUCUGGGCUUGAUGUUCACCAGUUUUUCCUUAGCUCCGACUGUGGCUCCUCUCAGCGGACUCUGAUCCUGCUCUCUGCAGGGCUGCGUCUGCCCAUCCCAGGCAGGGAAAGAAGAAUUGGAAACAUGAAACACUGCCAUUGGCCUGGCUGAAAGAUCAGUUCCCAGAAAAAUGCCGUGAAACUACCAUGUUAUACAUCAUGCAGGCUAAGAGUGCAGCCCUGAUGUUGAUUCCUCUGGAAAAAUCUAUCUUGAGCAUGGACAGUGUUAAGAGCCAGAGAUACAAAACGCAUUAACCGGAUCCCUAAGGAGGCCACCCACAGACCACUGCCGAAGAAGAGAACAGAGAAAAAUAAGCGUUUGCCAGGCAAAGGAAAUGGCAAAGAGUAUUCUCAGCAGAACAAAUAACAUA